AAAAGAGCCAUCAAAGGCUAGGAGCUGCUGGCAAGAGGAACAAGUUUUCUGCAUGGGUAGCGAGUGUGGCAGAGCACUACGGGGUUGAUCAACGUCUCCUUGACUUUGCCUGGUGAUGAUUUCAAGUCUUGUUUGCAGCGUCAACUUCCCCCUUACAAAAUGUAAACUGUGAGUAACUACAAA
ensembl:lncRNA